UCCGAAUUGGUGUAGUGGCUAACAUUUGACGCUCUCAUGGUUUAUCACCGGAAUACCGUCAAGCCCGGGGUUCGAUUCCCCGAUUCGGAG